GUGAGAUUAAAUUGAAUUUAAUCAUAUAGAUUAAGUUGUAGUGUGGUAAGAGCUAUGAUGGGGGUAUGGCCAAAGCAGUGAAGGGUACAGAAAACAGGCCCCUGAGAAGGUCUGAACACCUCGAGGAUAUGAUGCCUGAAUUGCUCUUAAAAAACAGUAGGAGAUAGUCUUGAAAAACAGGGAACAUGUGCAGCGAUGGGAAGGUAGCUGUAUUCUGUGAGCCACAGAUAGGUCUGUGAGGCCAGAGUAUGGGGUGCCUGCAAGUGAGUGGUUGAGGAGAUGGAGUGGUAAUGGGUAAGACCAUGAUGCGAGAGACCUGGAGAGAGGAAGCUAUUGACUAAGCAGGGGACACCUGAGGACCUAAAGGAAGGCUCUAAAGUAAGGCUGGAAGAAGGGAAUCGAGUCAAGAAAGAUUAGAAGGUAGUAUUAACAAGGUGUGUUGCAAUUGACUGAGAGGUGAGGGAGAUGGAUUUGCAGAGAAUGACUCUUGGAUUUCUGGAAUUUGGGUUGUUUGAUGGAGUAGACUAGAUUCGGUUUUCUUAUCUGUAAAAUGGAAGAAAUACUUUGCGGAUAACAUAGGCAAAUGUCUUACCACAAGCAUACGGUUGAGACUCCAUAAAUGCUCGUUUUUUUUGCUUUCCCCCAUGUUGUUUCUGUUUCCUCCAUUCUGUCAGUGUAGGUCUUUGUUUGGUUAGUUCUGCCUUUGGAACGCUUUUCUUUGCUGUGUCCCAUGCUUCCCACUGUGACUGCUGCAUGGGUGACUCCCGGAUCCUUCUCUCCAGCCCUGAUCACGCUUGUAUGCAUUUUCGACCGUGUUCUGGUCAUCUCCAUGGCCUCUCACCCUCACAAGGGAGAACCAUC
rnacentral:lncRNA from 1 species